rnacentral:rRNA from 1 species
AGCGCAGGCGGUUUGAUAAGUCUGAAGUAAAAGGCUGUGGCUUAACCAUAGUAUGCUUUGGAAACUGUCAAACUUGAGUGCAGAAGGGGAGAGUGGAAUUCCAUGUGUAGCGGUGAAAUGCGUAGAUAUAUGGAGGAACACCGGUGGCGAAAGCGGCUCUCUGGUCUGUAACUGACGCUGAGGCUCGAAAGCGUGGGGGCGAAACA